rnacentral:snRNA from 1 species
GGAUGUGAGGGUGAUCUCGCUGCAACAUCUGUCACCCCACUGAUCACUGAGGUUGAUUUGGCUGAUCUGGCUGGCUAGGCAGGUGUCCCCUUCCUCCCUCAAUUCUCCACAUGCAUCCCUCCCAAAGCUGUGAGCUCCAUCGAAGACGACGACCUUCCCUGAUAGAUGGAGGCUGUCUUCAGUCAAGGGUAUAGGAGUAGCUGCAUGCCCCUGCUAGAACCUCCAAACAAUCUCUCAAGAGUUAUGCAAUUUGGGAGUCUUUUAGAUAGACCCACUGAAUGGGGUACCCCAAUU